rnacentral:rRNA from 1 species
GAUGAACGCUGGCGGCGUGCCUAAUACAUGCAAGUCGAGCGAACAGACGAGGAGCUUGCUCCUCUGACGUUAGCGGCGGACGGGGGAGUAACACGUGGAUAACCUACCUAUAAGACUGGGAUAACUUCGGGAAACCGGAGCUAAUACCGGAUAAUAUAUUGAACCGCAUGGUUCAAUAGUGAAAGACGGUUUUGCUGUCACUGAUAGAUGGAUCCGCGCCGCAUUAGCUAGUUGGUAAGGUAACGGCUUACCAAGGCAACGAUGCGUAGCCGACCUGAGAGGGUGAUCGGCCACACUGGAACUGAGACACGGUCCAGACUCCUACGGGAGGCAGCAGUAGGGAAUCUUCCGCAAUGGGCGAAAGCCUGACGGAGCAACGCCGCGUGAGUGAUGAAGGUCUUCGGAUCGUAAAACUCUGUUAUUAGGGAAGAACAAAUGUGUAAGUAACUAUGCACGUCUUGACGGUACCUAAUCAGAAAGCCACGGCUAACUACGUG